rnacentral:rRNA from 1 species
ACUAAGCGUACACGGUGGAUGCCCUGGCAGUCAGAGGCGAUGAAGGACGUGCUAAUCUGCGAUAAGCGUCGGUAAGGUGAUAUGAACCGUUAUAACCGGCGAUUUCCGAAUGGGGAAACCCAGUGUGAUUCGUCACACUAUCAUUAACUGAAUCCAUAGGUUAAUGAGGCGAACCGGGGGAACUGAAACAUCUAAGUACCCCGAGGAAAAGAAAUCAACCGAGAUUCCCCCAGUAGCGGCGAGCGAACGGGGAGCAGCCCAGAGCCUGAAUCAGUGUGUGUGUUAGUGGAAGCGUCUGGAAAGGCGCGCGAUACAGGGUGACAGCCCCGUACACAAAAAUGCACAUGCUGUGAGCUCGAUGAGUAGGGCGGGACACGUGGUAUCCUGUCUGAAUAUGGGGGGACCAUCCUCCAAGGCUAAAUACUCCUGACUGACCGAUAGUGAACCAGUACCGUGAGGGAAAGGCGAAAAGAACCCCGGCGAGGGGAGUGAAAAAGAACCUGAAACCGUGUACGUACAAGCAGUGGGAGCACGCUUAGGCGUGUGACUGCGUACCUUUUGUAUAAUGGGUCAGCGACUUAUAUUCUGUAGCAAGGUUAACCGAAUAGGGGAGCCGAAGGGAAACCGAGUCUUAACUGGGCGUUAAGUUGCAGGGUAUAGACCCGAAACCCGGUGAUCUAGCCAUGGGCAGGUUGAAGGUUGGGUAACACUAACUGGAGGACCGAACCGACUAAUGUUGAAAAAUUAGCGGAUGACUUGUGGCUGGGGGUGAAAGGCCAAUCAAACCGGGAGAUAGCUGGUUCUCCCCGAAAGCUAUUUAGGUAGCGCCUCGUGAAUUCAUCUCCGGGGGUAGAGCACUGUUUCGGCAAGGGGGUCAUCCCGACUUACCAACCCGAUGCAAACUGCGAAUACCGGAGAAUGUUAUCACGGGAGACACACGGCGGGUGCUAACGUCCGUCGUGAAGAGGGAAACAACCCAGACCGCCAGCUAAGGUCCCAAAGUCAUGGUUAAGUGGGAAACGAUGUGGGAAGGCCCAGACAGCCAGGAUGUUGGCUUAGAAGCAGCCAUCAUUUAAAGAAAGCGUAAUAGCUCACUGGUCGAGUCGGCCUGCGCGGAAGAUGUAACGGGGCUAAACCAUGCACCGAAGCUGCGGCAGCGACACUGUGUGUUGUUGGGUAGGGGAGCGUUCUGUAAGCCUGCGAAGGUGUGCUGUGAGGCAUGCUGGAGGUAUCAGAAGUGCGAAUGCUGACAUAAGUAACGAUAAAGCGGGUGAAAAGCCCGCUCGCCGGAAGACCAAGGGUUCCUGUCCAACGUUAAUCGGGGCAGGGUGAGUCGACCCCUAAGGCGAGGCCGAAAGGCGUAGUCGAUGGGAAACAGGUUAAUAUUCCUGUACUUGGUGUUACUGCGAAGGGGGGACGGAGAAGGCUAUGUUGGCCGGGCGACGGUUGUCCCGGUUUAAGCGUGUAGGCUGGUUUUCCAGGCAAAUCCGGAAAAUCAAGGCUGAGGCGUGAUGACGAGGCACUACGGUGCUGAAGCAACAAAUGCCCUGCUUCCAGGAAAAGCCUCUAAGCAUCAGGUAACAUCAAAUCGUACCCCAAACCGACACAGGUGGUCAGGUAGAGAAUACCAAGGCGCUUGAGAGAACUCGGGUGAAGGAACUAGGCAAAAUGGUGCCGUAACUUCGGGAGAAGGCACGCUGAUAUGUAGGUGAAGUCCCUCGCGGAUGGAGCUGAAAUCAGUCGAAGAUACCAGCUGGUUGCAACUGUUUAUUAAAAACACAGCACUGUGCAAACACGAAAGUGGACGUAUACGGUGUGACGCCUGCCCGGUGCCGGAAGGUUAAUUGAUGGGGUCAGCGCAAGCGAAGCUCUUGAUCGAAGCCCCGGUAAACGGCGGCCGUAACUAUAACGGUCCUAAGGUAGCGAAAUUCCUUGUCGGGUAAGUUCCGACCUGCACGAAUGGCGUAAUGAUGGCCAGGCUGUCUCCACCCGAGACUCAGUGAAAUUGAACUCGCUGUGAAGAUGCAGUGUACCCGCGGCAAGACGGAAAGACCCCGUGAACCUUUACUAUAGCUUGACACUGAACAUUGAGCCUUGAUGUGUAGGAUAGGUGGGAGGCUUUGAAGUGUGGACGCCAGUCUGCAUGGAGCCGACCUUGAAAUACCACCCUUUAAUGUUUGAUGUUCUAACGUUGACCCGUGAUCCGGGUUGCGGACAGUGUCUGGUGGGUAGUUUGACUGGGGCGGUCUCCUCCUAAAGAGUAACGGAGGAGCACGAAGGUUGGCUAAUCCUGGUCGGACAUCAGGAGGUUAGUGCAAUGGCAUAAGCCAGCUUGACUGCGAGCGUGACGGCGCGAGCAGGUGCGAAAGCAGGUCAUAGUGAUCCGGUGGUUCUGAAUGGAAGGGCCAUCGCUCAACGGAUAAAAGGUACUCCGGGGAUAACAGGCUGAUACCGCCCAAGAGUUCAUAUCGACGGCGGUGUUUGGCACCUCGAUGUCGGCUCAUCACAUCCUGGGGCUGAAGUAGGUCCCAAGGGUAUGGCUGUUCGCCAUUUAAAGUGGUACGCGAGCUGGGUUUAGAACGUCGUGAGACAGUUCGGUCCCUAUCUGCCGUGGGCGCUGGAGAACUGAGGGGGGCUGCUCCUAGUACGAGAGGACCGGAGUGGACGCAUCACUGGUGUUCGGGUUGUCAUGCCAAUGGCACUGCCCGGUAGCUAAAUGCGGAAGAGAUAAGUGCUGAAAGCAUCUAAGCACGAAACUUGCCCCGAGAUGAGUUCUCCCUGACUCCUUGAGAGUCCUGAAGGAACGUUGAAGACGACGACGUUGAUAGGCCGGGUGUGUAAGCGCAGCGAUGCGUUGAGCUAACCGGUACUAAUGAACCGUGAGGCUUAACC